rnacentral:rRNA from 1 species
GGCAAACCUGGCUGCUGCUUACCGUGCAAGUCGAACGCUGAAGCCUGGUGCUUGCACCGGGUGGAUGAGUGGCGAACGGGUGAGUAACACGUGAGUAACCUGCCCCUGACUUCGGGAUAAGCCCGGGAAACUGGGUCUAAUACCGGAUACGACUGCCGGACGCAUGUCUGGUGGUGGAAAGUUUUUUCGGUUGGGGAUGGGCUCGCGGCCUAUCAGUUUGUUGGUGAGGUAAUGGCUCACCAAGACGACGACGGGUAGCCGGCCUGAGAGGGCGACCGGCCACACUGGGACUGAGACACGGCCCAGACUCCUACGGGAGGCAGCAGUGGGGAAUAUUGCACAAUGGGGGAAACCCUGAUGCAGCGACGCAGCGUGCGGGAUGACGGCCUUCGGGUUGUAAACCGCUUUCAGCAGGGAAGAAGCGCAAGUGACGGUACCUGCAGAAGAAGUACCGGCUAACUACGUGCCAGCAGCCGCGGUAAUACGUAGGGUACGAGCGUUGUCCGGAAUUAUUGGGCGUAAAGAGCUCGUAGGUGGUUGGUCACGUCUGCUGUGGAAACGCAACGCUUAACGUUGCGCGUGCAGUGGGUACGGGCUGACUAGAGUGCAGUAGGGGAGUCUGGAAUUCCUGGUGUAGCGGUGAAAUGCGCAGAUAUCAGGAGGAACACCGGUGGCGAAGGCGGGACUCUGGGCUGUAACUGACACUGAGGAGCGAAAGCAUGGGGAGCGAACAGGAUUAGAUACCCUGGUAGUCCAUGCCGUAAACGUUGGGCACUAGGUGUGGGGGGCAUUCCACGUUCUCCGCGCCGUAGCUAACGCAUUAAGUGCCCCGCCUGGGGAGUACGGUCGCAAGGCUAAAACUCAAAGGAAUUGACGGGGGCCCGCACAAGCGGCGGAGCAUGCGGAUUAAUUCGAUGCAACGCGAAGAACCUUACCAAGGCUUGACAUACACCGGACCGUCCUGGAAACAGGUCCUCUUCUUUGAAGCUGGUGUACAGGUGGUGCAUGGUUGUCGUCAGCUCGUGUCGUGAGAUGUUGGGUUAAGUCCCGCAACGAGCGCAACCCUCGUUCUAUGUUGCCAGCACGUGAUGGUGGGAACUCAUAGGAGACUGCCGGGGUCAACUCGGAGGAAGGUGGGGAUGACGUCAAAUCAUCAUGCCCUUUAUGUCUUGGGCUUCACGCAUGCUACAAUGGCUGGUACAGAGAGAGGCGAACCCGUGAGGGCAAGCGAAUCCCUUAAAGCCAGUCUCAGUUCGGAUCGUAGUCUGCAAUUCGACUACGUGAAGUCGGAGUCGCUAGUAAUCGCAGAUCAGCAACGCUGCGGUGAAUACGUUCCCGGGCCUUGUACACACCGCCCGUCAAGUCACGAAAGUCGGUAACACCCGAAGCCGGUGGCCUAACCGUAAGGAGGGGGCCGUCUAAGGUGGGACUGUAAUGU